AUGCGAUAAGUAAUGUGAAUUGCAGAAUUCAGUGAAUCAUCGAAUCUUUGAACGCACCUUGCGCCUUUUGGUAUUCCGAGAGGCAUGCCUGUUUGAGUGUCAUUAAAUUCUCAACUUCAAAAGCUUUUGUUUUUGAAGCUUGGAUGUGGAGGCUUUGCUGGCUCUUCUAGAGUCGGCUCCUCUGAAAUGCAUUAGUGGAAACUGUUUGCAAUCCGCAUUGGUGUGAUAAUUAUCUACGCUUGUGUGUGGUUGCAGCUCUUUACGAGUUUAGUAUCUGCUUCAAACCGUCCUAAGUCAUUGGACAACUUUGAACCUUUUGACCUCAAAUCAGGUAGGACUACCCGCUGAACUUAA
rnacentral:misc_RNA from 1 species